AACCGAAUAGGGGAGCCGGAGGGAAACCGAGUCUUAAUUGGGCGUUAAGUUGCAGGGUAUAGACCCGAAACCCGGUGAUCUAGCCAUGGGCAGGUUGAAGGUUGGGUAACACUAACUGGAGGACCGAACCGACUAAUGUUGAAAAAUUAGCGGAUGACCUGUGGCUGGGGGUGAAAGGCCAAUCAAACCGGGAGAUAGCUGGUUCUCCCCGAAAGCUAUUUAGGUAGCGCCUCGUGAAUUCAUCUCCGGGGGUAGAGCACUGUUUCGGCUAGGGGGCCAUCCCGGCUUACCAACCCGAUGCAAACUGCGAAUACCGGAGAAUGUUAUCACGGGAGACACACGGCGGGUGCUAACGUCCGUCGUGAAGAGGGAAACAACCCAGACCGCCAGCUAAGGUCCCAAAGUCAUGGUUAAGUGGGAAACGAUGUGGGAAGGCCCAGACAGCCAGGAUGUUGGCUUAGAAGCAGCCAUCAUUUAAAGAAAGCGUAAUAGCUCACUGGUCGAGUCGGCCUGCGCGGAAGAUGUAACGGGGCUAAACCAUGCACCGAAGCUGCGGCAGCGACGCUGAUGCGUUGUUGGGUAGGGGAGCGUUCUGUAAGCCUGCGAAGGUGGCCUGUGAGGGUUGCUGGAGGUAUCAGAAGUGCGAAUGCUGACAUAAGUAACGAUAAAGCGGGUGAAAAGCCCGCUCGCCGGAAGACCAAGGGUUCCUGUCCAACGUUAAUCGGGGCAGGGUGAGUCGACCCCUAAGGCGAGGCCGAAAGGCGUAGUCGAUGGGAAACGGGUUAAUAUUCCCGUACUUGGUGUUACUGCGAAGGGGGGACGGAGAAGGCUAUGUUGGCCGGGCGACGGUUGUCCCGGUUUAAGCGUGUAGGUGUGUGUUCCAGGUAAAUCCGGUUCACUUUAACACUGAGGCGUGAUGACGAGGCACUACGGUGCUGAAGCAACAAAUGCCCUGCUUCCAGGAAAAGCCUCUAAGCAUCAGGUAACAUCAAAUCGUACCCCAAACCGACACAGGUGGUCAGGUAGAGAAUACCAAGGCGCUUGAGAGAACUCGGGUGAAGGAACUAGGCAAAAUGGUGCCGUAACUUCGGGAGAAGGCACGCUGACACGUAGGUGAAGUGAUUUACUCAUGGAGCUGAAGUCAGUCGAAGAUACCAGCUGGCUGCAACUGUUUAUUAAAAACACAGCACUGUGCAAACACGAAAGUGGACGUAUACGGUGUGACGCCUGCCCGGUGCCGGAAGGUUAAUUGAUGGGGUCAGCGCAAGCGAAGCUCCUGAUCGAAGCCCCGGUAAACGGCGGCCGUAACUAUAACGGUCCUAAGGUAGCGAAAUUCCUUGUCGGGUAAGUUCCGACCUGCACGAAUGGCGUAAUGAUGGCCAGGCUGUCUCCACCCGAGACUCAGUGAAAUUGAACUCGCUGUGAAGAUGCAGUGUACCCGCGGCAAGACGGAAAGACCCCGUGAACCUUUACUAUAGCUUGACACUGAACAUUGAGCCUUGAUGUGUAGGAUAGGUGGGAGGCUUUGAAGUGUGGACGCCAGUCUGCAUGGAGCCGGCCUUGAAAUACCACCCUUUAAUGUUUGAUGUUCUAACGUGGACCCGUGAUCCGGGUUGCGGACAGUGUCUGGUGGGUAGUUUGACUGGGGCGGUCUCCUCCUAAAGAGUAACGGAGGAGCACGAAGGUUGGCUAAUCCUGGUCGGACAUCAGGAGGUUAGUGCAAUGGCAUAAGCCAGCUUGACUGCGAGCGUGACGGCGCGAGCAGGUGCGAAAGCAGGUCAUAGUGAUCCGGUGGUUCUGAAUGGAAGGGCCAUCGCUCAACGGAUAAAAGGUACUCCGGGGAUAACAGGCUGAUACCGCCCAAGAGUUCAUAUCGACGGCGGUGUUUGGCACCUCGAUGUCGGCUCAUCACAUCCUGGGGCUGAAGUAGGUCCCAAGGGUAUGGCUGUUCGCCAUUUAAAGUGGUACGCGAGCUGGGUUUAGAACGUCGUGAGACAGUUCGGUCCCUAUCUGCCGUGGGCGCUGGAGAACUGAGGGGGGCUGCUCCUAGUACGAGAGGACCGGAGUGGACGCAUCACUGGUGUUCGGGUUGUCAUGCCAAUGGCACUGCCCGGUAGCUAAAUGCGGAAGAGAUAAGUGCUGAAAGCAUCUAAGCACGAAACUUGCCCCGAGAUGAGUUCUCCCUGAGACUUAGAGUCUCCUGAAGGAACGUUGAAGACGACGACGUUGAUAGGCCGGGUGUGUAAGCGCAGCGAUGCGUUGAGCUAACCGGUACUAAUGAACCGUGAGGCUUAACCUUACAACGCCGA
rnacentral:rRNA from 1 species